UGGGCCCUACGGGACGCAGCAGUGAGGAGUAUUGGUCAAUGGGCGGGAGCCUGAACCAGCCAAGUCGCGUGAGGGAAGACGGCCCUAUGGAUUGUAAACCUCUUUAGGCGGGGAGCAAUGCCGGGCAAGCGUGCCCGGAGGGAGAGUACCCGCAGAAUAAGCAUCGGCUAACUCCGUGCCAGCAGCCGCGGUAAUACGGAGGAUGCGAGCGGUAUCCGGAUUUAUUGGGUUUAAAGGGUGCGUAGGCGGAUUUUUAAGUCAGCGGGAAAAUGUCCGGGCUCAACCCGGGCCGGCCGUUGAAACUG
rnacentral:rRNA from 1 species